rnacentral:rRNA from 1 species
CCUACGGGAGGCAGCAGUGAGGAAUUUUGCGCAAUAGGGGAAACCCUGACGCAGCAACGCCGCGUGAGUGAAGAAGGCCCUCGGGUCGUAAAGCUCUGUCAAGUGGGAAAAAAGCUUACUGGUAAAUAGCCAGCAAGACUGAUGGUACCAUUGAAGGAAGCACCGGCUAACUCCGUGCCAGCAGCCGCGGUAAUACGGAGGGUGCAAGCGUUGUUCGGAAUUACUGGGCGUAAAGGGCGUGUAGGCGGUGUGGUAAGUCAGAUGUGAAAGCCCUGGGCUUAACCCAGGAAGUGCAUUUGAAACUGCCAUGCUUGAGUAUGGGAGAGGAGAGUGGAAUUCCCAGUGUAGAGGUGAAAUGCGUAGAGAUGCGGAGGAACACCGAUGGCGAAGGCAGCCCCCUGGGCCAACACUGACGCUCAGGCACGAAAGCGUGGGGAGCAAACAGGAUUAGAUACCCUGGUAGUCCACGCCCUAAACGAUGUCAACUGGGUGUUGGGGGAGCGAUCCCUUGGUACCGUAGCUAACGCGUGAAGUUGACCGCCUGGGGAGUACGGCCGCAAGGUUAAAACUCAAAGGAAUUGACGG